GAUGAACGCUGGCGGCGUGCCUAAUACAUGCAAGUCGAGCGAACAGAUGAGAAGCUUGCUUCUCUGAUGUUAGCGGCGGACGGGUGAGUAACACGUGGGUAACCUACCUAUAAGACUGGGAUAACUCCGGGAAACCGGGGCUAAUACCGGAUAAUAUUUUGAACCGCAUGGUUCAAUAGUGAAAGACGGUUUCGGCUGUCACUUAUAGAUGGACCCGCGCCGUAUUAGCUAGUUGGUAAGGUAACGGCUUACCAAGGCGACGAUACGUAGCCGGCCUGAGAGGGGGAUCCGCCCACCUGGAACUGAGACACGGUCCAGACUCCUACGGGAGGCAGCAGUAGGGAAUCUUCCGCAAUGGGCGAAAGCCUGACGGAGCAACGCCGCGUGAGUGAUGAAGGUCUUCGGAUCGUAAAACUCUGUUGUUAGGGAAGAACAAAUUUGUUAGUAACUGAACAAGUCUUGACGGUACCUAACCAGAAAGCCACGGCUAACUACGUGCCAGCCGCCGCGGUAA
rnacentral:rRNA from 1 species